CAAUAAUUUUUCUUCCAUGAAAUUACACCCUUCUUUAGCUCCAGCUGUGCAACGGAAGCUGGAUAUGGCAAAAGAGG